AUGCCCGUGCUCCUCCCGUUUCCAUCUCUCAUCUCCCUGCCUUUCUCUCUUUCUGUGAGCAGGGGAUCCGCCAUCGACAGCCGCAACAGCGACCUCCCUGGACCCCGACCGCUGACUCGGAGCUCCUCGCCGCCAAGCUCUGACCCGCUCGGAGCCGUUCCCCAGGUCGCCGGACCUCCCGGCAAGCUCCGUCGCCGCCAUCAAACCUACUUCCCCUACACGCACGACCCUUGUUCGCCUCUAGCUUCACCCUGCCUCUGCUUCAUGCGCGCGGUCGCCGCCUUGGAGACCCGAGCCCCCUGCGUCGAGCUGGCGCUCGCCUUCAAGCCUGCUGCCGCCAAGUCCCGCGGGCGUCGCCCCCGCUACCUCUGCAUCGACCUGCAGCUCGCAAGUCCCGCCGCUGCCAAGCUCCUGCCAGAGUCGUCCCGUCUGUGGUCUCCCACGAGCCGCCGUCCAGGACCCCGACAGGCCGCGCCACUCACCGGAGUUGUCGUCCCGCAGGUCGCGGCCUCUCGCCCCCUCCAAUACAGCGAGCCCUCUUCGUUUUCCCUAUUGCCUCUGACCUCUCCCUCUCUCUAUGCACCUUGGACAGCGCCAUGGAUAUGGAGUCCCGCACCCGAUCCCCGUCCACCACCGUUGCCUGGAACCGACGCCGGACGACUUGACCCACCCGUUUCGGCCGGUUCCCGUCGACCCCGUUGCCAGGACCCCUUGCCGUUGUCUUCGCCUUUGCCAUGGUUCUGCUCUUGUUUCUGUUUCUUCAAGAACGAGAACAGCAGCAGCCCGUCUGCUUGUCCCGCUCGCGCGUUGACCGAGCGCAGGGCUAACAGGCCCAGCUGCGCGCCCCUGCAGGCCUCCCCUCUGCACCAGCUGGGCCAAGGCCCGAUUGUUGCUUCUUCGGGUUAG
rnacentral:rRNA from 1 species